ensembl:lncRNA
AAAAGACAAAGGGAGAUACUUUACAUUGGUUCUACAUUGUUUAUUGAACAACAUAACUAUAAUAAUUCAGACAUUUGAUUAUUCUGGGGUUUUUUUUAGACUCGACUUGAGUUGAAAAAACGCCCAGAGAGUGAUUUUGAUAAUCCGGCUCGUGGAGGUUUGAUUGACAGAUUUGGAUGUCACUGCUGGCUGACACGAAGUUCCCGGUGGCGGUUAGUAUAUCUGGCAAUCCGGGAGAAAACGUGUCAUUCUGCAGCGACAUCAAUACAAUUUCUCCCCUUAAAAGUGUGAAAUGAAUGAACAGCACCAAAUCGACUUAAAGGUACAGUAAUUGAUCUUUUUUUUUAUGCUGUGCAAUACUCAACUAAACUAAAACAUAAAAAAAAAACAAAGCACUAAUUUCAUUAUUAAGUCUAUUAUAAUCUGUAUCAAACAUACUGUAAUACAAUUUUUCCUCACAGAACACGUAUUGAUGCUUCCUUUAAAGCCAUUUGAACCCAGUUUCUCAUCUCAGCUACUUUCAAACACAGAGAAUGUAGAAUUGAGACUGUAGAAACGUCACCUUAUUGCGGGAAAGGCGGGAAACGGAAUCCACAUCCAGCUGUUAAUGAACCAGUCAGCUGCAUUAUGGGUUCCGUUAACCACCCACCUGCUGAGGUUCACGAGAUUUGAGGGUCAUGAAACCUUCAGAGGGUGAAAAUCAAUGUAGAGAUGUCACCAAAUUCUGUACAAUGUCCUGUCUCAUAUUCUUGAACCAGCACAGUUCUAUGUAUUUCUAUCGUUGACGUACACAUAGGACUUGAUAGGAAAAACAAAAUUAUGCAGCUUGAAAAAUCUGAUUACGGCUCAUACAUUCUUUAGACUCUUUUAUCGUUGUUGGCGUCGGAGUCUUCACGGCUGAAACCUGUCCUGUUUAUUUAUCUUCCUUCAUCUAAAGUCAGGAGGCCUGAAAAACCUGUUUCCCUACCAAAAACACACCAAUAUAGCAAGUUUAGUAUCUCCGCUGGAGGCUGACAGUUUACUCGACAGAUUUAAGCAAGACAAAAUAAGAAUGAGUACAUGAUAAGGAAACAAGGAGGUACAUUAAGAAAGAUGCAGCUUUAUUCAGUUUAAUUUCAAAUAUCCUAAUAUUUGUACACAGUCUCUCUCUGUACACACUUCCUGCACUUUCACUUCGCAAGGCAGAAGAUAAGAAAAGACAAAAGAAUAGAUAGCAGGGACGAAACGUUGGGUAUUCAAUAGUGCCCUUUUGUAUGAAUCUUUCUUACUUUUCCUUUAAGCGACUCUCUCUGUGUUCCUGUAGGGAAGCGAAUAAAAGCAGAAGCUUGUGAAGUUGAAAAGCAAUGCGUACAAGCUUGAAGAAAACGAAAGGGGAAUACUCGUACCGGUGAAUAAAAGAGACACGACAAGAGAAUAACUUUCAAACAACAAACGAAAGAAAACAGAUGUCAAGAGUAACAAGCUAAGCAACACGUACACCGCGUAGAAAUAUCACAUUUAAAAGUGGCAAGAGAGUUACCUUGAAGGCACAACAACUCUUACCCGUCCUGGCCAUUCUCACUUCUCCCUCUCGCCCGUGCUGCUCAGUUCUCUCUACUCAUGUGAAUAUGUUUUAUGUUUGAUGUUCAACAUUUGCAGCUUUCAUUUUGUCCUGGAGUUACGAGGCUGAUAACAAAUAACCUUUAAGAACACCUUUGACAAAAGAACGUGAGAUCAUUCUCAUGGCAGGACCGGGAGGCUGUCAUAAG